CCAUGAUCCAUGAUAAUACGGGCGCUCGCUCCAUCAGUUUUUUCUUAAAAUUCUUGGUUGGUUAUGUCUGCCCAUGAUUUCAGGAGCCGUUUCCUCCACCGCUUUACAGUUAUGGAGUUGCCUGUGAGUCUCAAGCAGAUAAUUAUGCUCUUUAUUUUCUCAAUUCGAUACGAAACUCAGCAGAGAUACCAUGGAUGGUGGAUAUUGUUAUCAGUCAGCAGAUAAUUGCAACUUUGCUCAUAAUCUAUUCCUUAUUCCACGCCUAUAACGUCGACGGGUCUUGCUUGGCUUUCGAACUGGUUAGUCUUCUCAGUCGGAUUUUGCUGCGGUAUUAUUGAUCAAGGGAUGUCUUGAACUUUUGUCAAGAAGUGGUAUUAGCAUUAAGGGAAUGAAGGCAGUAGUGGUCGGUCAAAGUAACAUUGUUGGAUUACCAGUUUCACUUCUACUUAUUAUUCCCUAUUGCUUCUCAUCUUUUUUUUUUUGUGGUGACGUUUUUCUGAUAAUUUCAAAUAUCUGAUUUUAACCUUUACGGGAUUCUGGUCGUGCUUUUGUUGGUUUUUGCUCUUUAAAUUUGAUAUGCAGGAUUUUAGUGAUGGUAAUACUUCUCACUUGGCACCCUAUAUUUGGCUUAAAUUUAUAAUACAGUAAAGUAUGGUUAUCAAUAGAGUGUCUAUUAAGUCUUUAAAUAUAUCUAUGUAUUAGGUGAGCCAAGUACAAAUCUGGCAAUGCUUUUGAUGCAUUUUGGCGUAAUAGAAUGGUUAAUAGGAUCUAUAAUAACGUAUCAACAACCCAUGAUGAUUGUGUUUUUUUAUUACUGUCUUCUGAUCUUUUAUUUAUUACUGCUUUCACUCAGUUUUGUUCUAUUUGAUCUUCCACACAAACAGGCUAUGGACAACAAUUUCUCACUGGUUCUAGCAAUAUUCAGGGUUGAAGUUAGCUAUACUGUCAAGCACCAAACUGAAGAUUUUUAAUAAUUCUGUCCAGAUUAGUACACUGCCUUCAUCAAGGGUUUACAUGAACUUGGACACUGAUAUUGUAGCUGCAAUGUGGCAAAGGCUAUAUUCUGAUGGCUAUGUUGCUCCUGAAAGGAGUCUGUCAACACACACAUACUCUUCCACUAUGGCUACGCCUAUUAAAACUCUUUCACUCAAAGAACUCAGCGAGAAGACAAGUACUGAAAUGCUUGACUGAAAGUGAAGGUUGUGGAGGAGACAAGUGCAUGGUGGUUUUUUAGUUGCAUUGGCUGCGGAGAAGAAGCUUAUACUGUAGAAGGAAAAUUCAAGUGUACUGCGAAAUGCCAAGCAAGUUAUCCAGUUUCGGAAAAAAGCUUUUAGUUUGUUUGAGCAUGUCGAUAAGGUGAUGUGUUUAUGGGAAUAUUUAUAAGGAUGAGAUUCGAAAGUUGUUUCCUGCCGAAGUCUCGCCUGAAAUGCAGAAGCUAUUGACACUUCUUUUGCAAAAAUUCCACAGUGAGUGGCGGGAAGAUAUUCAGUAAAAAUGGGGUACUUUGCCCAGAUUUAAAACCAGGACAUGGGACAUGGCGAGUCAGGAAGAUGAACGAAUGAAGCCUCUUGCAGUUAUCAACUUGGAGGUUAAGGAUGAGAAGAUCUUUCAACAUAUAAGUAUACACAUUAUCAAACUCAAACUGAUCCACGCAUCUUGGAGACUUUGGCAUCAGCAAGAAGAAAAGGUGAGCAUCAGCAAGAAGAAGAAAAGAAGAAGAUGGAGAAGAUGAUGGUGAAAAGCAGGAGCUGGGAUAGUGAAUGGAGAAAGAGCACAUUCCUUGUGGAUGCAAAAGUCUCAGGUGGUGCAUACAUAGUCUUCGGCUUUUUCAUAACAAGCAUCACAAGUAAAAGAGAAUUUCCUGGGCAUCAAUGUGAGUGGGUGCUCAGGGUGACCUUGAUGAUGAAGCACUUUUUCUUGAAAAUCACAAAUCAGACACACAUCAAAUUGACAAUCAUCGCAUGCGUAAGAGAACUUGACACGCUGACCACAAGCAUCACAAAAGUACUUAUCAGGUCGUUUGAGCAGAACAAGAGGGUGUUGGUUGUGUUUUGUGUUUUUCUUUUCAACGGAGUUCUUAAUGGCUUUGCGAUGGUCCGCAUAAGUUUUUCUUUGAUGUUUUUUGUUGGUUUGUUUGGACUGUUUCCACUCAUGAAUAAAACUAUAUCUUCUGAUUUUCUGAACUUCUGAACUGAAGCAGCAUUUGGAUUCUGCAUUUCAAUGUCUGUAAUGAUAUUACUUCAUGUUUCACCGUUUUUAA